rnacentral:misc_RNA from 1 species
AAGUCGUAACAAGGUAACCGUAGGUGAACCUGCGGUUGGAUCAUUAGAAAAUUUAGACGUUUGGCUAGUUCUUUGGCUGAAUAAGCCAUCCUAGCCAACUUCCGUGGACCUUUGGCCAUUCGAGCAUUGUUUGUUAGCCCGGGUUUCCCUCAUUUCGAUGGGGCGAUCAACCUGGGGGUGAUCAUAUCGCUUUGCUUAGGACGCCAUUGCCACGGUCGCGUCAAAAACUCCUAUGUGCAACGUUUUGGGGUUUGGUUGGAAAGCAUGAGGUAUGUUUUACCUCAUGCCGGAAAAUCAUCUCCCAUUCCACUAGUUUAUAAUUUGUCUAACUUUAUUUAAUAUAUAAUAUUAAAACAACUUUUGGCAACGGAUCUCUUGGCUCUCGCAUCGAUGAAGAACGC